rnacentral:rRNA from 1 species
GCUUGUCUCAAAGAUUAAGCCAUGCAUGUCUAAGUAUAAGCAAUUUGUACUGUGAAACUGCGAAUGGCUCAUUAAAUCAGUUAUAGUUUAUUUGAUCUUACCUUACUACUUGGAUAACCGUGGUAAUUCUAGAGCUAAUACAUGCAAAAAUGGGCGACUUCUGGAAGCUCAGUAUUUAUUAGAUACAAAACCAAUGCCCUUCGGGGCUCCUUGGUGAUUCAUGAUAACUAUACGAAUCGCACGGCCUUGCGCCGGCGAUGGUUCAUUCAAAUUUCUUCCCUAUCAACUUUCGAUGUUUGGGUAUUGGCCAAACAUGGUUGCAACGGGUAACGGAGGGUUAGGGCUCGACCCCGGAGAAGGAGCCUGAGAAACGGCUACUACAUCCAAGGAAGGCAGCAGG